GUACAGCCAGGGAAGUGGGAAAAUUCAUGUCACUUCACCCCUCUUACCCCGGUUCUCAGGUAGAAGCAUCCAACUCUGCUCUUUUUGCUCAAGAGCAGGACGUGUGCACCAUGAACCCAGCAUUGUGGCUGUUUCAGGGUUUUGGGGGGACACUGAUUUCUGUCUCAUCUGACCCAGACUGCUACAGAAACCAGCAGUUUUCAGACCACAGUGGGAGGGGGGUGCUGGGAAAAAGAUGAACUCCCUUGCCUCAACCCCGGAGAGACUGAGCUACAGCAGAGGACACUGGGGGGACAGAGAUGACUGUCCCCGGAGAGCACGUAGGAAAACUCUUCCCACAAAACUGAACAUAACCCAGAGGAGCCGCAUCCCCACAGGAUUUGGCAGCCUUGAAACCAUAGCUUUGCUGAUGCAGAGGCUGACCAGGCACAAACAAUGUGCAAUCAGAGGCUGAUGUUUUCUCAAUGCCCAAAUCCCAGCAAAGGAUCAUAAAGCACACAGUAGAGCAUGGCUCCACCGAAACAAAAUAAUUCUCAGGGAACCACCCUGCAACUGCGGAGACCCACAAACCGUGCAAUCUUGUAAAGACCUUUGCACACUUGUACUCUUGGCAGCAUGGCUCUCAGGAGCAAUGGGUGGAAGUAACAAACUGUGUAUAGAGAGAUGAAUGAAGACAAUGUGGUGUGCACAGAAAGCAAUACAUUAAUCAGUCCUGCAGAAGAAGGAAAUCCCACCCCAUCAUGGAAAACAGAUGAAAGCUGAGGGCAUUAUGCUACGUGAAGGAAGACACGUGCUCACACACACACAGGGUCCUCCAUGAUUCUAACACGUGAGUUCCUGGAAAUGGUGGGAAAUCCUGUGGGAAACAGGAAGCAGAACAGUGGGCAGCAGGAGCUGGGUAGGAGGAAGUGGGUGGUGCUGUUCAGGGGGUAGAGUUUCAGUUUUACAAGGUCAAACAUUUCUGAAGAUCUGCCGCACAAGAAGUGGAACACAAUGGAACCAUGCACCUAAGAUGUGAGCAUGACGUACUGUAGGAAUUUUUAAGUCUGACCAAAGAAAUUGAUUUAAAGAGAAUAAUGAUGAUUCUUUGCCACCUACUUUACCCAGAAGUCCCGGGAAUCACUGUUGCUUCUGGUCAGUGCUCCUCCACAUGAGGUGGGGAUAGUGGCCCUCCUCCAUCAGUGGCGCUCGGCUGUGUUCUGGCUGUCACAGCUCCGGUGAGAAGAGGCCUGGAGUCGCCAAGCACACUGAGGUGCCCAGGAUGGCUCCCUACACCAGCAAGGGGCUGCCUGUCCACAGCGCGAGCCCUGUCCUGGGCUGCUUAUCACCGGGUGUUGUGUCACCCAGCCUUUCCCUCCUUAACUGGGGUGGAGGCUGCUGAAGGUGUGUGGGACUGAGUGGAGAGAAAAGAGAGAGGAUGCUUUUGUACAAUGAUUAUUGAAGCCAUAAAGGAAAAUGAGAGUAGGGGCAGAGAAAGGAAAUAUGGACAGGCAGAUAGGAAAGACAUCAAGUAGAUCACUUUUGAGCCACUGUGUAGAGGACUCUUCACAUAUAAUCCUUAACUUCUCUGAGAUUAUGCAAACUCACAGGGAAGAGGUGGGCAUUCAUACCUAUAAGCUGGCACUCUGGGAGGCUGAGGCAGAAGGAUUGCAAGUUCAAGUCCAGCCUGGGAACCUUGGAGAAAUCCUUUCUCAAAAAUGAAAAGAAAACAAAAAGGGCUGGAGAUGAAGCUCAGGGUGAAGACCUUGGGCUCAACCUGCGAGACUGGGAAAGAAUGUUUCCACGUAGAUGAAAUAGGGGAGGAAAUCGUGUGUGUGAGCAGGCUUAGCAACUUCCUCUGAGGGGAGGCUGCGUGUUUGUCCCACGUGGCGCUGGGCUGCAGAGCUGCACCCUGUGCCCGCGACAUGAUGGGAAACGGUGGCAGGCUCUCUAGGAAGUGGAAGUGGGACUGAGGGGAAACUCCUGAUACCUUUCUCUUGCCGCUGGAGGGGCCGCUGGUUUGGCCAGCGCUGUCACACGCCUGCCCACACUUCAGAGUGACUCUUGCCAAUGCGAAGAGGGGUUGGGGGGCACCGGACCGGCUCAGAUCAGGAGAAAGGGGUCUGGGCCCAUUAUUACCAUCCCCAUCCUUCCCAAAACCCAGUAGCUGGAAGGACACAGCCGGCUGUCCCGAUUUUCCCAUUGCCACCCACAGCUGCCCACCAGACUGCUGCAGGGCCACACAGCUGGGCUUCUGUAGGUGCCCUGCAUCCACCGGGCUGCUCACAGGCCACACUCGGACCGGCCAGCAGCCCAAACUUGGACGACCCAUCUGCACUGAGUCCCCAGAGCUGCAGCACAGGUCCGGGUAAAGCAAAGGCUGGCUCUGCCGCUCCUAUGAGCCUGCUCGGGAGCUAUUUCUUGGGUAGUGCGGCCUCCAGGGUCCUGUAAGCGACUGAGUAGCUGGUGCGGACAUGGGGCUGCUUCAAAAGAAAGAAAGAGUUGUAUACGAGGGGCUCCAGAGACCAGAGCAGUUCGGGCGCAGAGUGCAACGCCAGGCAGAGUAGGCAGCACUGCCAGCCAAUGGCCGCUUCUGACAGACACCCACUGGCGGCAUUGGCCAGAGUGGCUGCUCUCGGAGACGCGCUCCGAGUCCUGACUUUAUCUGAAUGAAGCAAAGGAGCCCUCCAGGGAUCGACCUCAUAAGGGGCAGCAGAAGCUCAGGAGAAAGAGAGUAGGAGCUUCCACCGUCUCAGCACAGAUUUCUGACCAAAUGCAUUCCCUCCCCCAGACUCGUGUCCAAGACUUCAAGCAAGGUGAUGGUAGCUGGUAACCUCCAAGCCGUUCUGGCUGUGAGGAUGAAGCCACCCGGUUACGUGCAACCUCAUGAUGCCACAGCAUGCGAACCUGGAGAUGGUGGCAAUGCUCCCACCAAACACCCUCAGCCAUGGCCAAACUGACCCCAUCAAGAUGGAAGGCGGCCUGCAGAGACAUCUGAGGAUGGGCAUCAAAGUCUUUGGGGCAAAUAGGGCUCAGAGCUGGUGGGAGUGGGCUGGAGGGGAGGGAGAGGCGGUGUGUUUCCUGCCUGGAGGCCCACUGUGAAGGGGGGACCUUGGGCUCUGUGAGGGGCCAAGGCUGCUCUGAAGGCCGGGCAAGUCCGGGAGGGCUGUGCAGUCCUCCCACAAGUUGUCCCACAGAUGGAGAAUGCUGUUUCUCUUACAAUGAGAGUGAGUAACUGAGUGAUUGUCGGUUACUGACUGUUUCCUAUUUGUGUAGGACAGUUCUUUUGGUAUUUCCUGUUAUGAGACUAAUGGUAAAGAAUUGCCUAUUCUAUAUAUUUUGGUUUUUCUUUACUAUCUCCGUGUUUCAAUAAUCAUUGGUUUCAAAGGGACA
ensembl:lncRNA